GGGCUCUAAAGGAGAGAUGGUUGGCAUCUCCCCUGACAGGGACGGGAACAACCUUCGGGUUUACCUGUUAACCUACACUCUAAACUAUUUUUUUAACUACAAAAAAUCUCAAACUGGUAUACUUAU